rnacentral:sRNA from 2 species
CCUAGGAUGGUGAAAUACGUUAGUGAGGGAGCUUUGGUUGUGAUUGGAAUGUUUGAACCUGCGUUUGUUAUAAUCCGGAGACGUAUCCUUGCAACCCGCGCGUACUAGAGGAUGAAAUAUCGGAACUGAAAACCAACUGUUCGCUCUGACUUGGCUGGUCCAGUUUGUCCAGUUUCAAGCUUCUCAAGCUUUCAAGCGGCGUGGUAGCGCAUUGUUGAAGGAAUGUGUGGAGAAAUAUUAGUCGUCACUUAACAGGAACGAAAACUUGGCUUAGCUUGGCUGAGGUUCCUGGCUUCUGACCUGGCGUGUUGGCAGGUAUCAAUUUCCUCGGAGUGCCCUAACUGCUAGGGGAAGAAGAAGCGUCUUAGAACGUUUCAUGGAGAGAAUGGGGGUGCUGGGGAGGCAUCGUCGAUCCAAUAAUGCUGGAACACGCAUGGGGUAACUGGCCUCUGGAAGCAGCGCCUAAAAGCCCCAGAGCCAAAGAAACCACCGAAUCUCAGUUUCUGAGAAGGUAAGCGGCGGCGAUGAAGACAGCAGCUGAAAUCGCUGGUGGCUGAAGCGGCACAAAUAGCACGGGUUGUCUUGAAGCCACUAUGUAGACGAGGCAAAUGGGAUGAGCGCCCAAGAAUCCCCAUUGAAGGCUCCGGUUGUGUUUAACAGCUCCUGGAACAGCAUGCUCAAGAGAAAUCCCCACCACCCCAUCACUCACAUCCUUUCAACCGCC